GAACUUUUGUUCCCUGCAAGCUUUCCGUUCAGCUUUGGAGGCGGAGAGUGAAAAUGGCGGCCUCCCAAUCUCUGCCCCGGAGGAGCCGAGAACUCGGGCCCGCUCCUCAGUGAGCCCCCAGAGAAAAGCCGUCAGUCACUCCCGUCUCCCCGGUCUCCAGCCGCACUCCGUGCUCACCCAGCCUGUGACCGCACGUUUCUAUCUCUGGCACCCGACCCCAGGUGGAGUCUCCAAACCCAGCCAAUCCCUGCGGUGCACUCCCGCACGGCUCCUCCCGGGGGAGGAAGCAUGUCUCAGUGGAAUCAAGUCCAACAAUUAGAAAUCAAAUUUUUGGAGCAAGUAGAUCAAUUCUACGAUGACAACUUUCCUAUGGAAAUUCGACAUCUGUUGGCUCAGUGGAUUGAAAAUCAAGACUGGGAGGCAGCUUCCAACAAUGAAACCAUGGCAACAAUUCUUCUUCAAAACUUGUUAAUACAACUGGAUGAACAGUUAGGUCGUGUUUCCAAAGAGAAAAACCUGCUCUUGAUACACAAUCUAAAAAGAAUCAGGAAAGUCCUUCAGGGAAAAUUUCAUGGAAAUCCAAUGCACGUAGCUGUGGUUAUUUCGAAUUGUUUAAGGGAAGAGAGGAGAAUAUUGGCUGCAGCCAACAUGCCCGUUCAGGGACCUCUGGAGAAAUCCUUACAAAGUUCUUCAGUCUCAGAAAGGCAGAGGAAUGUGGAGCACAAAGUGGCUGCCAUUAAAAAUAGUGUGCAGAUGACAGAACAAGACACCAAAUAUUUAGAAGACCUGCAAGAUGAAUUUGACUACAGGUAUAAAACAAUUCAGACAAUGGAUCAGGGGGACAAGAACAAUGCCCUAAUGAAUCAGGAAAUUUUGACUCUUCAAGAAAUGCUUAACAGUCUCGACUUCAAGAGAAAGGAAGCCCUCAGUAAGAUGACCCAAAUAGUAAAUGAAACGGACUUGUUAAUGAACAGCAUGCUGAUGGAAGAGCUGCAGGACUGGAAGAGGAGACAGCAGAUCGCCUGCAUCGGCGGGCCGCUCCACAAUGGGCUCGACCAGCUUCAAAACUGCUUCACACUGUUGGCAGAAAGUCUGUUUCAACUCAGAAGGCAAUUGGAGAAAUUAGAGGAACAGUCUACUAAAAUGACAUAUGAAGGAGACCCCAUCCCCAUGCAAAGAGCACAUCUGCUAGAAAGAGUCACCUUCUUGAUCUACAACCUUUUUAAGAACUCAUUUGUGGUUGAGCGACAGCCAUGCAUGCCAACCCACCCCCAGAGACCGAUGGUACUUAAAACUCUUAUUCAGUUCACUGUAAAGCUAAGACUACUAAUAAAAUUGCCAGAACUAAACUAUCAGGUAAAAGUGAAAGCAUCAAUUGACAAGAACGUUUCAACUCUAAGCAAUCGAAGAUUUGUCCUUUGUGGAACUCAUGUCAAAGCCAUGUCCAUUGAAGAAUCUUCUAACGGGAGUCUCUCGGUAGAAUUUCGACAUUUGCAACCAAAGGAAAUGAAGUCCAGUGCUGGAGGCAAAGGAAAUGAGGGCUGUCACAUGGUAACUGAAGAGCUUCAUUCUAUAACCUUUGAAACACAGAUCUGCCUCUAUGGCCUGACCAUAGAUGUGGAGACCAGCUCAUUACCUGUGGUGAUGAUUUCCAAUGUCAGUCAGUUACCUAAUGCUUGGGCAUCCAUCAUUUGGUACAAUGUGUCAACCAAUGAUUCCCAGAACUUAGUUUUCUUUAAUAAUCCUCCAUCUGCCACUUUGAGUCAACUCCUGGAAGUGAUGAGCUGGCAGUUUUCAUCCUAUGUCGGCCGUGGCCUUAACUCAGAUCAACUCAAUAUGUUAGCAGAGAAGCUUACAGUCCAGUCUAGCUACAGUGAUGGUCAUCUCACCUGGGCCAAGUUCUGCAAGGAACACUUACCUGGUAAAUCAUUUACCUUUUGGACUUGGCUUGAAGCAAUAUUGGAUCUAAUUAAGAAACACAUUCUUCCUCUUUGGAUAGAUGGGUAUGUCAUGGGCUUUGUUAGCAAAGAGAAGGAGCGCCUCUUGCUAAAGGAUAAAAUGCCUGGAACCUUUUUGUUAAGAUUCAGUGAAAGCCACCUUGGAGGAAUAACUUUCACCUGGGUAGACCAUUCUGAAAAUGGAGAAGUGAGAUUCCACUCUGUAGAACCCUACAAUAAAGGUCGGUUGUCUGCUCUGCCGUUCGCUGACAUCCUUCGAGACUAUAAGGUUAUUAUGGCUGAAAACAUUCCCGAAAACCCUCUGAAGUACCUUUAUCCUGACAUUCCCAAAGACAAAGCCUUCGGUAAACACUACAGCUCCCAGCCCUGCGAAGUUUCAAGACCAACAGAAAGGGGGGACAAAGGUUAUGUUCCAUCUGUUUUUAUACCCAUUUCAACAAUCCGAAGUGAUUCAACUGAGCCACAAUCUCCAUCAGAUCUUCUUCCCAUGUCUCCAAGCGUAUAUGCGGUGCUGAGAGAAAACCUGAGUCCCACAACAAUUGAAACUGCAGUAUGUUCCCUUUCUUUUCCAUUGCUGGUCAAGGGCACUCCUAAUGAAGCAAAUGUGGCACCUGUUAAUCAAAGGGGCUGAAGUUCUGCCUGAGAAGUGAGAAAACACUUUUGUUGGACCAAAUCCAUGAGCAUCACACUGGAUGAAGUCUCCAUAUUCUGCUGAAUGACAAGAUAAAUUCUUGACACUCAAAAGAAGGAAGCAAAUGAAAAAGCUUAAAGACUGAUCUUUGCCAACAAUCCUAUCUUAUUUCUUCAGCUUUGUAUAUACCAGUUUCCAGGAAAUGGUUGAAGUCUGAAGCUCUCCUCUCACUCGCCUGACACCACCAAUUGGGAAUGUCCUGACUGAAAUGUUAAAAACCAAAGCUUCAGAUAAACUUACAAGAUAAGACACUUUAAGAAACCAGUGUUAAUAUAACAUUAACAAAAGACCCUUUUGUCUUUGUUUCAUUUUUUAUUUUGUUUCUCACAUGUUACUUAUGAUUUGGGCUCUAGAAGGAUUAAGUGUUAAGAUUUCAGAAUAGGUUACGAAUGACAUAGUCACACCUACAUCACUCAAAGGCCAGCAAGAAGACCUUAGAGAAAAGCCAAAUAAGCUUAUGUCCUGAGUUCUAGAAGGUAAAAGCCAUCACCCUAGAUACCAGAUAGAUCCCUCUGGAGGACCCCUCUCUAACUUCUUCCACCCCUCUUCUGUCCCUGAGGCAAGCCAUACAGAGAGAAGUUAAUGUUUAAUGGAAAAGAUUUCAAAGAGAAAAAGGUUUUAAUAUAACCUUCUUUCUCAGAGAGAUUCCAUCUUACCAAUCGCAUCCUUUAUACCCAUUCACAUGUGCCCAACUGGAUCCUAUAUUGUUCUUCCAACUCUGUACUUAUACCAAGGCCAGUUCACUUAUUCCUGAUAGUACUCUUUUUUUCAGAUUUUAUUUAUUUGAGAGAGAGAGCAAGACGGAGAGGGAGAAGCAGACCCCCCACUGAGCAGAGAGCCCGACGUGGGGCUCAAUGUCAGGACCCUGAGAUCAUGACCUGAGCCGAAGGCAAGCACUUCACCGACGGAGUCACCCAGGCACCCCUUCCCGUGUCUGUUGGAUGGAGGACCACCAGGCUAACUUGAGGGGCAGUCUCCCAGUCUCUCCUCCACAUGCCCAAUUUUCUGCAAUUCAAAUAUAUCAAUUGGCAACAAAAGUAGAGGAAAUAAUCAUAAACCUGGUUUAAAGUUAUAUCUUGAUUGAUAUUUUGAAUUAUAAAAUUAUUAUUAUUGUUUUAUCUUUAAAGAGGUAAUCUACUAUCAGGAA